AGUAAACUUUAGGGGUGCCGUGAAAGCCGGCUGAGAUAAAACCCUUAGAACCUGAUCGCGUUAGGACGUGCGAAGGGAAAAGUUGAGACACUACA
rnacentral:ncRNA from 2 species